UGGCUGGAUGUCGAUAAUGCAAAUGUAUUGGAUGUAAACGUAAAUGAUAUCUUCUUCACCGUUUCAAAGAAGAUGUUUACAAAUACAUCUCAAGAUUGAAUUUCUAGUCUGAUAAGUAUUGCAGUGGAUUCAUCACCAUACCAUAUUAGUACUGCCAGGAAACAUUUGGAUACUUAACGGAAGAAAAUUGCGAACAAAAAACUCGAUAUUGCUCGUGCC